AAUGAACGCUGGCGGCGUGCCUAACACAUGCAAGUCGGAUGUGCCGCAAGGUGCAUGGCAGACGGGUGAGUAACGCGUAGGGAAUCUACCUUUUUGUGGGGAAUAACGCUCCGAAAGGAGUGGUAAUACCGCAUGAGACCGUGACCUGGGAUGGUUACGGUGAAACCUGGGGACCGCAAGGCCUGGGGCAAAAAGAGGAUCCUGCGUCUGAUUAGCUAGUUGGCGGGGUAAUGGCCCACCAAGGCGACGAUCAGUAGCCGGCCUGAGAGGGUGAUCGGCCACACUGGAACUGAGACACGGUCCAGACUCCUACGGGAGGCAGCAGUGGGGAAUUUUGCGCAAUGGACGAAAGUCUGACGCAGCAACGCCGCGUGGGUGAUGAAGGUCUUCGGACUGUAAAACCCUGUCGUCAGGGACGAAGGUGGCAGUGUUAAUAGCGCUGUUACUUGACGGUACCUGGAGAGGAAGCCCCGGCUAACUCUGUGCCAGCAGCCGCGGUAAU
rnacentral:rRNA from 1 species